rnacentral:lncRNA from 1 species
UCGGUCAUAAUAGUCCCUUGAAAUCAUUAAUGGUUAAAAAAAUCCCUGUAAGUGUUGACGUCGGUCAAAGUAGUCCCUAUUUAAGUUUAGCCGUUAGUCCCUGGGACGGAAAAUGUCCAUGUGUCACGUUAUGUGCCACGUGGGUUUCAAUUUGGUCCCCGACAUUAUCAAUUUAGUCCCUGACAUGUAAUUAAAUAAAAAAUAUGAAUUAAAAAUUAAUCAGUCUAUUAAAAAAAUUAAUUAUUAAUGAAAUUAAAAUUAAAAUUAUUAAUUAAAAAAUUCUUGAUUUCCAAUUUCAGAAAUUUCUAAACAAAAAUAACCUUCAUCUUCAUCCCUCUAGAAACCUGGAAAAUCCCUAAUCAAACUCCACCAAGAAAAAACCUGAAUUAUAUAUCAAGCUUCAUUCUUCUACUGUAAAAGAACAAAAACAUGCCCAAACCUCUUUCUAUCCCUUUGCCGUAAAUCCAUCCUCUCCACCCUUUCACUCUUUUUUUUUUUUUUAAAGAAAAUAAACUCUCUUCCCUUUCUACUCUGUCCGUAUAAAAAAACCACCACCAAAUCUUCUCAUUUGAAUUCCAUCACCUUUCUUCUGGGUUUCUUUUCAUCUCCUCCCCCUUCUUCAU